rnacentral:misc_RNA from 1 species
GUGAAUCAUCGAAUCUUUGAACGCAAAUUGCGCCUUUGGCGAAAGGCAUGUCGGGUUGAGGGCACCAUUUAACAAAUAAUGUGCAUCGAUUUUUGUUGCACACGUUGAUGGACUUUCCAAGAAUUGGAAAUGUGGGGUUUCGCAUAAUGAACAGCGUGAAAGGUUUUUUCAGUUCGAGUGUAUUAAAAUCUUUACUUGGGUUGUGAAAAGACAUAAUCGCGCAAUGUGUGUGGCAAUUUCUUUUUAUCCCUGCCCCAAGGCCACUCUUUCUCACGAAAGAAUG